rnacentral:rRNA from 1 species
CCUACGGGGGGCAGCAGUGGGGAAUAUUGGACAACGGGCGAAAGCCUGAUCCAGCCAUGCCGCGUGUGUGAAGAAGGCCUUCGGGUUGUAAAGCACUUUCAGUGGGGAAGAAAGCCUUGGGGCUAAUACCCUCGAGGAAGGACAUCACCCACAGAAGAAGCACCGGCUAACUCCGUGCCAGCAGCCGCGGUAAUACGGAGGGUGCGAGCGUUAAUCGGAAUUACUGGGCGUAAAGCGCGCGUAGGCGGUCUGAUAAGCCGGUUGUGAAAGCCCCGGGCUCAACCUGGGAACGGCAUCCGGAACUGUCAGGCUAGAGUGCAGGAGAGGAAGGUAGAAUUCCCGGUGUAGCGGUGAAAUGCGUAGAGAUCGGGAGGAAUACCAGUGGCGAAGGCGGCCUUCUGGACUGACACUGACGCUGAGGUGCGAAAGCGUGGGUAGCAAACAGGAUUAGAUACCCCAGUAGUC